rnacentral:rRNA from 1 species
AGAAAUAACAAUACAAUAUCGAAAAAUGAUUUUGUAAUUGGAAUGAUAGGAAUUGACAAGGUUCCUAGAGAAACAAUUGGAGGGCAAGU